rnacentral:rRNA from 1 species
AUUGAACGCUGGCGGCAUGCCUUACACAUGCAAGUCGAACGGCAGCACGGGAGCAAUCCUGGUGGCGAGUGGCGAACGGGUGAGUAAUGUAUCGGAACGUGCCCAGUCGUGGGGGAUAACGUAGCGAAAGCUACGCUAAUACCGCAUACGAUCUAGGAAUGAAAGCGGGGGACCGUAAGGCCUCGCGCGGUUGGAGCGGCCGAUAUCAGAUUAGGUAGUUGGUGGGGUAAAGGCCUACCAAGCCGACGAUCUGUAGCUGGUCUGAGAGGACGAUCAGCCACACUGGGACUGAGACACGGCCCAGACUCCUACGGGAGGCAGCAGUGGGGAAUUUUGGACAAUGGGCGCAAGCCUGAUCCAGCAAUGCCGCGUGCAGGAUGAAGGCCUUCGGGUUGUAAACUGCUUUUGUACGGAGCGAAAAGGCUCUCUCUAAUACAGGGGGCUCAUGACGGUACCGUAAGAAUAAGCACCGGCUAACUACGUGCCAGCAGCCGCCGUAAUAC